UACGGGGGGAGCAAGCGUUGUUCGGAUUUACUGGGCGUAAAGGGCGCGUAGGCGGCCACCGCAAGUCAGUUGUGAAAUCUCUGGGCUUAACCCAGAAAGGUCAACUGAUACUGCGGGGCUAGAGUGCGGAAGGGGCAACUGGAAUUCUCGGUGUAGCGGUGAAAUGCGUAGAUAUCGAGAGGAACACCUGCGGCGAAGGCGGGUUGCUGGGCCGACACUGACGCUGAGGCGCGAAAGCCAGGGGAGCGAACGGG
rnacentral:rRNA from 1 species